GUGCUUGCUUCAGCAGCACAUGUAGUAAAUUUGGGUCAUCACAGAAGAUUAACAUAGCCCCUGUGCCAUGGUGAUACAUAGAUAGCUGAAGUGUUUCAUAUUUUG
rnacentral:snRNA from 1 species